CGAACGGGUGAGUAAUGCGUGACCAACCUGCCCCAUGCUCCAGAAUAGCUCUUGGAAACGGGUGGUAAUGCUGGAUGCUCCAACUUGACGCAUGUCUUGUUGGGGAAGUGUUUAGUGGCAUGGGAUGGGGUCGCGUCCUAUCAGCUUGUAGGCGGGGUAAUGGCCCACCUAGGCUUCGACGGGUAGCCGGCCUGAGAGGGCGGACGGCCACAUUGGGACUGAGAUACGGCCCAGACUCCUACGGGAGGCAGCAGUU
rnacentral:rRNA from 1 species